rnacentral:rRNA from 1 species
CAGCAGCAGCCGCGGUAAUACGGAGGGUGCAAGCGUUAAUCGGAAUUACUGGGCGUAAAGCGCACGCAGGCGGUCUGACAAGUCAGAUGUGAAAUCCCCGGGCUUAACCUGGGAACUGCAUUUGAAACUGUCAGGCUGGAGUCUUGUAGAGGGGGGUAGAAUUCCAGGUGUAGCGGUGAAAUGCGUAGAGAUCUGGAGGAAUACCGGUGGCGAAGGCGGCCCCCUGGACAAAGACUGACGCUCAGGUGCGAAAGCGUGGGGAGCAAACAGGAUUAGAUACCCCAGUAGUCCCUGUCUCUUAUAC